AACAGCUCAAGGCACGUUCCUAGCAGUCCCGUCCCGUCCAUGAUUUGUACAUACCCCCGGCUGGCGAUAGAGACACUGUUGAUACAAAAAGCUCUCACACCCCAAAUUUAUUAAAAUCUGUUCUUAAGAUUAAUUUUCUUUACAAAUUUUUGACAAAGUAAACUAGGGCCUCUCUCAGUACUGCCAUUGGGAAUGUCUUGCUUCUGAACUCUUGCUGUUACUGUAAAUCCCACAUAGCUUGGUUACUCCUGGUUCUGACCUGACUCGUGAUGGCACAAGAUGGACAUUCUCACUUGGGUGCUGGGGCAGGAAACCUCCAGGAAAAAGUGUCCCCUGUUUACAAACACCUCCAAGGGAUGUGCUGCAAGGGGAGAGAGUAAGGUGAACAGAUACAUAAAACCAGAAGGAAAGGACCACACCUUGCUUCUUCAUUCCAGCAUUUUGGCAUCCAAAAGAAUUCUUUUUAACCUCACUAGCUUUCAGAUAGUUACAGAAUGGAUUAUCAUCCCUAGCCUAAAAAAAGAAAAAAAUGCAAGUCCACUCCCAUAUCCCGAACCAUUCCAACAUUAAUGCAUCAAAAGGACAUACCACCUUUAGCCAGCAUUCCCAUCAUAUUGUGACUCUUGGAAUACCCACAGAUUUCAGAACAUCUGUGUUUAUUUGACCUCUAGCAGAAGAAUGGCCCACUCCCAUAGUGCUGUGUGUCUUCACCCUGUAACCAGGCAAUGGAGUCAAGGCAGUUGCUACAGUAUGUUGAAAGAUGUCUUUUUAAAAUAUGAAUCAGGUUGAAAAGAUUCAGAAUUUAAGCUCAGCAUAUUUUUUUUUUUUCCUUUCAAGAGCAAUGAACAUUUUUUGUUCCUACAAUUUAUCUGCCCAAUGUUUCUGGAAAAUCACACAGCUCUGUCAUCACUGUAUCAUCAAUAACACCUAUUGAGUGUGGCUUCAGGAUUUGUGAAAGGUUUGGGAUUGGUGAGAAAGUAAGAGUGCCUUGGGAAAUACCAGAACUUAUGAGGCUGAAAUAAGAAUGAAGACCAAGGAAAGUCUGGCAUGUAGGAAGGGCAGCAACUGAGAAAAUGAGAAAUGUCACCUGGCAGCUGAGAGAGAUGCACAGGUAUCAUGUGGAAGAUGGGAAAUAGUCUAGGGGCAUCCAAUCAUUAAGCACAAGACUGAAGGAAGCAGCAGAAUGAAACAGAGAAAGUGGUUGUGCAGGCUCUGAAACCAAAGGAUCUGAUAGCCUAUCAACAAAGUAGGGUGGCAUUCACUUUUAAGAAAGAAGAAAAUAUACCAGAGGGGAAGAAAAGAAAAAAAGAACAGAGAGAGGGAAAGGGAAGAAAAAGGUACCUGGAAGAAAACAUUUGAAACAACAGCCUAAUAUCAAAUAGACUACUUGAAAUAAAAAGCAGCUGCAAACAUUUGGGGAAUAAACAAAAAGACUAAGUGGAGAAGUACUGUCUCUUCACAACAGAGUAGAACAAAUGAAAUUAAAUGGUAACGCACAAGAACAGUGGAACACAUCAAAAUUCCAUCACAACGUAUUCUAGAAAGCAAUUUUGUUUCAAUAUGUGAGAUAUUAUCAACAACAUAUUUCUCAAAUGCAAAGCCUGCACAUAAUUUUGUAUUGUCUGUUUUUAUGGUAAUAUCAAAGAAGAAGCAACAUAAGAACUAUAAAAUACACAUGGUUUCAAUGGUACUAAACUUCCUAUUUAAAAUAAAAUAUCCUUUAACAGAAAAAAAAUGUUUACAAAGAAGGGAAGAUUCCUAAAACUCAUUAGAGUGUAAUUUUGAGCCAUAGCUUGGAGGACAAAAGAAAUUUCAGAAACUUGACUGCAGGUAUUUCUGCACCUCCUCUAAAGACCACGUAAAUGAGCUGCAGGUCUCUUUGCACAGCUCUUGCUCUGGUAGUUUCAGUAGGUGAGACGAGUCCCAGUGGGCCAGGCAGCCACUGAAACCAUGGGCUGGCUGGGGCUGCUGGAGAGCAGGGGCAGGGUCUGCUUUGCAAACGACCGUCCUGGGGCUUGCCUAGUUAUUUUCUCAGCACAUCACUAAAUCAGGGGAAG